AGUGAACGCUGGCGGUAGGCCUAACACAUGCAAGUCGAACGGCAGCACAGUAAGAGCUUGCUCUUACGGGUGGCGAGUGGCGGACGGGUGAGGAAUACAUCGGAAUCUACUUUUUCGUGGGGGAUAACGUAGGGAAACUUACGCUAAUACCGCAUACGACCUACGGGUGAAAGCAGGGGAUCUUCGGACCUUGCGCGAUUGAAUGAGCCGAUGUCGGAUUAGCUAGUUGGCGGGGUAAAGGCCCACCUAGGCGACGAUCCGGAUCUGGUCUGAGAGGAUGAUCAGCCACACUGGAACUGAGACACGGUCCAGACUCCUACGGGAGGCAGCAGUGGGGAAUAUUGGACAAUGGGCGCAAGCCUGAUCCAGCCAUACCGCGUGAGUGAAGAAGGCCUUCGGGUUGUAAAGCCCUUUUGUUGGGAAAGAAAAGCAGCAGGUUAAUACCCCGCUGUUCUGACGGUACCCAAAGAAUAAGCACCGGCUAACUUCGUG
rnacentral:rRNA from 1 species